CCAAUUUACCCUCUCUCUCUCUCUCUCGCUAAACCUCUCCUCUCCCAGUCCCUCUCUCACCAUUCUACCCCUUAUCCUUAGAGCUCUCCUCUGAAGUCUAAACCCUUGUCCUCUCUGUGAAAAUGUCUUCUUCAACAGCAUCUGUAUUGAAACCCUUAUCAUCGAUGGCGGACUCUACUUCUCUACUUUCGCCGCCCUCUAUCUUCGCCCGAAACCCAUAUUUCUCUAUCCACCCCAGACCCAGACCUAUCAAGCUUCACCUUUCCGACUCCUCCUUAUCUUCGAAAGGUUUCUCCUUUAAGCUCAAAAAAACUAUCCAUUUCUCUUCAUUCAC
rnacentral:lncRNA from 1 species